rnacentral:rRNA from 1 species
AGAGUUUGAUCCUGGCUCAGGACGAACGCUGGCGGCGUGCCUAAUACAUGCAAGUCGAGCGAGCUUGCCUAGAUGAUUUUAGUGCUUGCACUAAAUGAAACUAGAUACAAGCGAGCGGCGGACGGGUGAGUAACACGUGGGUAACCUGCCCAAGAGACUGGGAUAACACCUGGAAACAGAUGCUAAUACCGGAUAACAACACUAGACGCAUGUCUAGAGUUUGAAAGAUGGUUCUGCUAUCACUCUUGGAUGGACCUGCGGUGCAUUAGCUAGUUGGUAAGGUAACGGCUUACCAAGGCAAUGAUGCAUAGCCGAGUUGAGAGACUGAUCGGCCACAUUGGGACUGAGACACGGCCCAAACUCCUACGGGAGGCAGCAGUAGGGAAUCUUCCACAAUGGACGAAAGUCUGAUGGAGCAACGCCGCGUGAGUGAAGAAGGGUUUCGGCUCGUAAAGCUCUGUUGGUAGUGAAGAAAGAUAGAGGUAGUAACUGG